rnacentral:lncRNA from 1 species
CUUGUGAAUACGAUUAAUGCCCUUAUAAAAGAGGUUUAGGGGAGCUUUAUUGCCCCUUCCAGCAUGUCAGGAUGCUGCAAAAAGGUGUUAUUUAUGAAGCAGGGAGCAGGCCCUCAUCAGACACCAAAGCUGCUGACACCUUGAGCUUGGACUUCCCAGCCUCCAGAACCGGAAGCAGUUUCCUGAAAACAGUGGCCUUUAUUGAUGAGUGGAGCAGAGGAAGAAAAUGAAAAGAAGAAGGAGGAGAAGAUGAAGAAAGACACUAAAAGGAAAAGUAACUGCUAAUCAAACCAAGAAAGCCCAGCUAAGGGGUAAUCCUGCAACUUAAAAAUAUGUCAUUUGUUAUUUUGACAGCUCCUUUUGAGGUGAUAGACUAGGAGGAGCUGCUGGCAUCAUCACCGACUGGCUGGGAGUUCUACUUCUUGCUUAAGACAUCAGUAAAUGGAUAACUGCAGAUUGCAAGGAGUCUAUCUUCUAAGAUUCCCAGCUUGAGCUC